rnacentral:rRNA from 1 species
GACGAACGCUGGCGGCGUGCUUAACACAUGCAAGUCGAACGCUGAAGCCCUGGCUUUUGUUGGGUUGGAUGAGUGGCGAACGGGUGAGUAACACGUGAGUAACCUGCCCUCUUCUUUGGGAUAACGCCCGGAAACGGGUGCUAAUACUGGAUAUUCACUGGCCUUCGCAUGGGGGUUGGUGGAAAGGUUUGUUCUGGUGGGGGAUGGGCUCGCGGCCUAUCAGCUUGUUGGUGGGGUGAUGGCCUACCAAGGCUUUGACGGGUAGCCGGCCUGAGAGGGUGACCGGUCACAUUGGGACUGAGAUACGGCCCAGACUCCUACGGGAGGCAGCAGUGGGGAAUAUUGCACAAUGGGCGAAAGCCUGAUGCAGCGGCGCCGCGUGAGGGAUGGAGGCCUUCGGGUUGUAAACCUCUUUCGCUCAUGGUCAAGCCGCAACUGUGGGUUGUGGUGAGGGUAGUGGGUAAAGAAGCGCCGGCUAACUACGUG